rnacentral:rRNA from 1 species
GCCGCGUGAGUGAUGAAGGUCUUCGGAUCGUAAAGCUCUGUCUUUAGGGAAGAACAGCUUAGUUGUGAAUAACAGCUAGGUUUGACGGUACCUUUAAAUGAAGCCCUGGCUAACUACGUGCCAGCAGCCGCGGUAAUACGUAGAGGGCUAGCGUUGUCCGGAAUUAUUGGGUGUAAAGGGUACGCAGGCGGUCUAGCAAGUCAGAAGUGAAAUCCACUGGCUCAACCAGUGAACUGCUUUUGAAACUGUUAGACUUGAGGAUAAGAGAAGAAAGCGGAAUUCCUAGUGUAGUGGUGAAAUACGUAGAUAUUAGGAAGAAUACCGAUGGCGAAAGCAGCUUUCUAACUUA